GAGCGGAAAUCAAGAGUUGGAGGCUCAACCUACUGAGCCACCUGGGCGCCCUAUGGGAUUGUUACAUUUAAAUGAUGUCUAGGUUUUCCAUACAGAAGAAAGAGGAACUGGGAGUGGGGAGAGCAACUGGAAAAUUACAGACACCAAAUAUCAUUAAUUACAUGGUCUGAUUUCUGCCCGCUUCUCCAUGCUUCAUCUCCUCUCACAUAGGACGGACUUCAUGGGCCAUGAUACAUGUGUUUGGUGUAAUGUUCUUUUGUUGCCAUUCUGAAGUUCCUGAUUUUACCUUUGAGUUUGUUUUUUGUAAGUAGAGUCCAAUGGAACAACAGAGCAUGCCGUCAGCGAGGAAAUGUGUGCAACUCUGUGGACUCAUCGUUCCAUGAUACCCAGCGUGCUGUGCUCUAGAAACGCUAAAUUCCGUUGAACUCAAGACUGCGUGGGAGUUAGAUAUAAGGUCAUUAAAGUCCUUGACAAGAGCAGCUGGGUGCAGUGGGGGACAAAAACUUCAAUGAAGUGGUUUAAGCAACAAUGGAGGAGCAGCGCGAGGGAAAGCCAGCAAGCAGUGGAACUGGUCAGUGCCUCCGCCACCCCCAGGUGCUGUCCUG